rnacentral:lncRNA from 1 species
UUCAAACACAAGAACACGCCAUUCUAACAUCUAACCUGUUCGAGAGAAAGGUUAUUUGUCUAGAAAAGAAGACGCAUAGACCAACGCCAGUCUAACAUCUGACUUGUUCGAGAGAAAAGUUAUUUGUCUGGAAAAGAGAUAAUGUCAAGGUAGUAGGACACCCUUUCCUAUUAAAAAGCUAGUGCCGUACCUGGACUAACUUCUUGGAGAAUUCGUACCGUUAGUCACGCUUUAAGCUCAAGAGAGUUAAAGUGAAAUAGUCCUUGUUUAGGUCGAGAGACGCUUGGAUUUACCAUCGACUACAAUUCUCUAUAAGCAAUUACAUGUCAAGACUCUACACACUCAUAGCCAAUAGAGACGUAUACCUCAGAAGGUGGACAUAACCCCAACGCCUCAAUUCUCAUUGUUUACAACACACGUGACAAUCUCUCUUUAUUUUGCUAUUUUCAGUUCUUACAUUCUUGUUUUGGGUUACAUACUACAAUCCCCCCUUUCCUACGAGACUUGCACUAAAAGUCUAAGUAAUUUCUCUUGCUUGUUGGCCAAGCUAUUCUCUGUGGGAUCGAUACCCAACCCAGGUUGGGUUCUAUAUUUGCUAACGACCGCUUUACACUCCCACGAGAGCUGUAGAUUGAGCGUUAUCA